rnacentral:tRNA from 1 species
GGUUGUAGAUCAGAGGUAGAGCACUCCCCUUGUAUGCGUGAGGCACUGGGUUCGAUUCUCAGCAAUACA